rnacentral:rRNA from 1 species
UACGGAGGGUGCGAGCGUUAAUCGGAAUUACUGGGCGUAAAGAGUGCGUAGGUGGUUGGAUAAGUUAUCUGUGAAAUCCCUGGGCUCAACCUGGGCAGGUCAGAUAAUACUGUUUAACUCGAGUAUAGGAGAGGGUAGUGGAAUUUCCGGUGUAGCGGUGAAAUGCGUAGAGAUCGGAAGGAACACCAGUGGCGAAGGCGGCUACCUGGCCUAAUACUGACACUGAGGCACGAAAGCGUGGGGAGCAAACAGG